rnacentral:rRNA from 1 species
GAACGCGAAGAACCUUACCUACUCUUGACAUCCAGAGAACUUAGCAGAGAUGCUUUGGUGCCUUCGGGAACUCUGAGACAGGUGCUGCAUGGCUGUCGUCAGCUCGUGUUGUGAAAUGUUGGGUUAAGUCCCGCAACGAGCGCAACCCUUAUCCUUUGUUGCCAGCGGUUCGGCCGGGAACUCAAAGGAGACUGCCAGUGAUAAACUGGAGGAAGGUGGGGAUGACGUCAAGUCAUCAUGGCCCUUACGAGUAGGGCUACACACGUGCUACAAUGGCAUAUACAAAGAGAAGCGACCUCGCGAGAGCAAGCGGACCUCAUAAAGUAUGUCGUAGUCCGGAUUGGAGUCUGCAACUCGACUCCAUGAAGUCGGAAUCGCUAGUAAUCGUAGAUCAGAAUGCUACGGUGAAUACGUUCCCGGGUCUGUAACCACACCGA